rnacentral:tRNA from 1 species
AUCUAGGUAGUUUAAGAAAAAAUAUUGAUUUGUGGAGUCAAGGAUGUAAGAGUUUAUCUUGGAUA